rnacentral:rRNA from 1 species
AUUGAACGCUGGCGGCAUGCCUUACACAUGCAAGUCGAACGGCAGCAUGAUCUAGCUUGCUAGAUUGAUGGCGAGUGGCGAACGGGUGAGUAAUACAUCGGAACGUGCCCUGUAGUGGCGGAUAACUAGUCGAAAGAGUAGCUAAUACCGCAUACGACCUGAGCGUGAAAGAGGGGGACCGCAAGGCCUAAUGCUAUAGGAGCGGCCGAUGUCUGAUUAGCUAGUUGGUGAGGUAAAGGCUCACCAAGGCGACGAUCAGUGUCUGGUCUGAGAGGACGAUCAGCCACACUGGAACUGAGACACGGCACAAAUUCCAACGGGAGGCAGCAGUGGGGAAUUUUGGACAAGGGGCGAAAGCCUGAUCCAGCAAUGCCGCGUGUGUGAAGAAGGCCUUCGGGUUGUAAAGCACUUGUGUCCGGAAAGAAAUGGCUCUGGUUAAGACCUGGGGUCGAUGACGGUACCGGAAGAAUAAGGACCGGCUAACUACGUGCCAGCAGCCGCAGUAA